ACCCGCUGAACUUAAGCAUAUCAAUACAGCGGAGGAAAAGAAACCAACAGGGAUUGCCCUAGUAACGGCGAGUGAAGCGGCAACAGCUCAAAUUUGAAAUCUGGCGUCUUUGGCGUCCGAGUUAUAAUUUGCAGAGGGCGCUUUGGCAUUGGCAGCGGUCCAAGUUCCUUGGAACAGGACGUCACAGAGGGUGAGAAUCCCGUACGUGGUCGCUAGCCUUUACCGUGUAAAGCCCCUUCGACGAGUCGAGUUGUUUGGGAAUGCAGCUCUAAAUGGGAGGUAAAUUUCUUCUAAAGCUAAAUACUGGCCAGAGACCGAUAGCGCACAAGUAGAGUGAUCGAAAGAUGAAAAGCACUUUGGAAAGAGAGUUAAAAAGCACGUGAAAUUGUUGAAAGGGAAGCGCUUGCAGCCAGACUUGCCUGUAGUUGCUCAUCCGGGUUUUUACCCGGUGCACUCUUCUAUAGGCAGGCCAGCAUCAGUUUGGGCGGUUGGAUAAAGGUCUCUGUCAUGUACCUCUCUUCGGGGAGAACUUAUAGGGGAGACGACAUGCAACCAGCCCGGACUGAGGUCCGCGCAUCUGCCAGGAUGCUGGCGUAAUGGCUGU
rnacentral:rRNA from 1 species